ensembl:lncRNA MEG8 maternally expressed 8, small nucleolar RNA host gene
CAAAAGAUCAUGAUUAAUCCAGUUCUGCACAAAACACUGAGGUCCAUUAGAAGACAAUAGGUCUUGGCUGUUUCAUUCCUUUUAAGAGCUGUUUAAUAUUCCACGGAGCCCUGGGCUCCCCCAGUGUUGCCUGGGUCUGACUUUGCCUCAGUGAAAACUGCCUCGAAUUCUUUCUUGCACCGAUGGGCAGAUGGGCAGUGUCGGAGGAUCGUGUCAUCUGUCCCGUGGCGCUGGUUGGCUUGGUCAAGUCAGUGUUCAAACUAUCUCCUGCUCUUUCAAGGGGAUCUGGGGCUCUAGAAGAUUAGAGGACUUGGAGAGGUUAGUGACUUGCUCGAGGUCGGCUAGGAAGCAAGACCCAGGAUUCCAACUCAGGUCUGUGUGAUUCCUCUGCAAAAUGGAGAGGUGGAAGGAUGGAUGUCAGGUCUGAUGGAUGGAUGGAUGCCUACAUCAAGAUACAUGCAUAGAUGGAGAGAUGGCUGGCUACCUCAUGAAUGCUGGACUGUUGUGAGAAUCAAACGAGAUAAUGUAUGCUGAGGCAUGCUGUGAACACUACGUGCUGGGUACAGGAGAAUGGAGGCUCCAGAGUGAAAUUAAUGACACUUUGUCGAUGAAGAUCUUGAUUGUGACCUCUGUGGAAAAUGAGCCAUGAACCAACCAAUAUGAAAAAUAAAAGAAAUCUACAUGGAUCCCACUUUGGACAAAGUGCGUGUCAACAGUUGCAUGAAAUGGUAUUUCACUUCUUGAUUAUUGUUUGUUUUUAUUCUUUUUUUAGAAAAAAUGAAUAAAUGAUCAAAUUAUUUUGGGGGUAAUUAAAUAAAAGAAAGAACACAAGUGAGUCAGUAAAUGCUUAAAUUAAGGUAGAUCUUGGAUCAUUGCUUCAUGGCACACUCUCAGAAAUGCUCAAAUAUGGUGCCUUAAAAAAAUUAAUGAGGUUUGGGUGUUGAUGUGGUUAGGGAGUAUACAGAUAGAUAGUUGUUAGUGGUUACAUUUAUUACUCUUGCAUUGGGUGGAUUUAAGGGUUCAUUAUAUUAAGAAUUAAACAGUAAGUAAAUUCAUACAUAAAAGGUAUGGUUAUUCUUGAGUCAAUAAUGAGAAUGUGUUAGGAACCAAGGUUUAUGAUUAAUCUAAAAUAAUUUCUAAAAGAAGUUAAGUCUUUGCUGUUUCGUUCUUUCUAAA